CACACAGAACCAGGAGUAAGAAGAAAAUACACAAGGACGAGAGAGAGACACACGUUCAAGCAGGUCUGACAAUAACACCCCCCACGCACACACACACCACAACCCUUUCCCUUCCCAACUCCCAAAAAAUCCCAGCAGCAACAAACUAAAACCAACAUUUUCGAUCAAAACCUCUGACACUGUGAGAGAGAGUGUGUGAGCAGCUGCACCUGUGGACCAUCAGGACUCUUAUUCUCUUAAGCUUCCUGUGGAACGGCCAAUCAGCUUCCAGGAUCCACACACACACCUGAAACCCAUCUCUUAAUUUAGCAGGUGAAUGCGCUCUGAUACGUGUUCUGAGAUCGACUGUCAGCUGACAGCUGCUUCAGGCUCAGCAGGUUCGGUUCACAGAGUAUGUUGCCAGGGUAACUGACUCAGAGUUUUCACUAAACCUGCUGACAAUGUUCUGAGUCCCAGUGAGACAGCAGUGACUUUUGACCUCAGAGGAGGAGGAGACUUCAAAGAAAUCACAUUUAAUCACUUUGAGAUUAGACACAAUGACCAGUGAACGUCUUUGGCUCCGCCCACUCCAUCACUGUUUUACAUUUUUAAUUUAGCGACUUGUUGUUUGUUUCAUGUGCGGAUGAGAUUAUAAUUCCACAUGUUGUUUGAUUCAGGUGCAGAUGAGACUAUAAUCCCACGUUUGUUUUAUGUGCAGCUAAAAUUAUAAUUCCACAUGUCGUUUGAUUCAGGUGCAGAUGAGAUUAUAAUCCCACAUGUUGUUUGAUUCACAUGCACAUGAGAUUAUAAUCCAAAUGUCGUUUGAUCCAUGUGCACAUGAGAUUAUAAUCCCACAUGUCGUUUGAUUCAGGUGCAGAUGAGAUUAUAAUCCCAAAUGUCAUUUGAUCCAUGUGCAGAUACGAUUAUAAUCCCACAUGGUCAGUCCACUUUCCUGCCCAGUGUCCACAUGUCAGGCUACGGGUCACUGGGAGGGGGCGGAGUCUUUCCUGGACAGAGAGACAAGAACAUCAUGUAAAAGGAAGCUGAUCUGAUUUUCUGCUCUGGUUUCCUGGCUGUUGCCGUGGAAACAGACGAGAAUCUGACAACUGAAAGAAAGAAAAUGUUUUUAUUUUAAAUGAUUUAAAAAAAAAAAACUGUGAUUUUUCUUUUUUAAAGUGAUUAAAUAAAUAAAUCUGAGGGAAAAUGUGUUUGUAUUAAUGUAACUGUCAGAUUAUUGGAUGUAUCUUCUGUGUGUGUGUGUGUUUGCAAAUCACCAGUGUGUUGUUGAACUUUUUAAAUUAAAUAAAAACAUUUUUAGUAAAA